AUGGGUUCAAUUCCUACUUAUUGUUCUUAUCAGACAAACAGUGUUGGUUCACUGAAACUAUCACCUCACAUCCAAUUACAACAAUCUUGUAACAAUGGAGUUAUGUUAUUAUCCAUGCGGAAUAAGACACAGCUGGCCAAAAGAAGAGCCACAAAUUAUGGAACUCAUCGUAAUUCUAGUCGGACUCCGGCACCUAUCGUAUGUUCAACUGGAAUGCCCAUAAUUUUCGUUGCCACUGAAGUGCACCCAUGGUGCAAAACUGGAGGCCUUGGUGAUGUUGUAGGAGGAUUGCCCCCAGCUCUGGCUGCAAUGGGACACCGGGUUAUGACGAUAGCUCCUCGCUAUGAUCAGUACAAGGAUACAUGGGAUACAAAUGUUCUUGUUGAGGUGAUUGUUGGUGACAGAACAGAAACAGUGCGCUUUUUUCACUGCUACAAAAGGGGAGUUGAUCAUGUUUUUGUUGAUCAUCCUAUGUUUCUUGAGAAGGUAUGGGGCAAAACUGGAUCAAAAUUGUAUGGGCCUACUACUGGAACAGACUUCCGAGAUAACCAGUUACGGUUCUGCCUUUUGUGCCUUGCUGCAUUGGAGGCUCCGAGGGUUCUUAAUCUCAACAAUUCUGAAUACUUCUCUGGACCAUAUGGAGAAAAUGUUGUCUUUGUUGCAAAUGACUGGCACACUGCAGUUUUGCCAUGCUAUUUGAAGAGCAUGUAUAAGCAAAAUGGAAUUUAUGAGAAUGCCAAGGUUGCUUUCUGCAUUCACAAUAUCGCCUAUCAGGGCAGAUUUCCCAGAGCGGACUUCGAACUUCUUAAUUUACCUGAAAGUUUCGUGCCUUCAUUUGAUUUUGUUGAUGGGCAUGUUAAGCCAGUAGUUGGGAGAAAGAUUAACUGGAUGAAGGCAGGGAUCAGUGAGUGUGAUGUGGUCCUUACAGUUAGUCCACAUUAUGUUAAAGAACUCACUUCUGGUCCAGAGAAAGGUGUUGAGUUGGAUGGUGUCCUUCGUGCAAAGCCUCUUGAAACUGGAAUUGUAAAUGGAAUGGAUGUUGUUGAUUGGAAUCCGGCAACAGAUAAGUACAUCAGUGUCAAAUACAAUGCAACUACGGUGGCAGAAGCAAGAGCUCUCAAUAAAGAAAUACUGCAAGCUGAAGUUGGAUUGCCGGUGGACUCUAGCAUACCUGUUAUAGUUUUCAUUGGUCGUCUUGAAGAACAGAAAGGGUCAGACAUACUAAUUGCAGCCAUUCCGGAGUUUGUCGAGGAGAAUGUUCAGAUAAUUGUUCUCGGCACAGGGAAGAAGAAAAUGGAGGAGGAACUGAUGCUGCUAGAAGCGGAGUACCCACAGAAUGCCAGAGGCAUAGCAAAAUUCAAUGUCCCGUUGGCGCACAUGAUGUUCGCCGGGGCUGAUUUCAUAAUUGUUCCAAGUAGGUUCGAGCCAUGUGGCCUCAUCCAAUUGCAAGGGAUGAGAUAUGGAGUGAUUCCUAUCUGUUCAUCCACCGGAGGACUUGUUGACACGGUGAGGGAGGGUGUUACCGGAUUCCACAUGGGUUCGUUCAAUGUAGAGUUUGAAACCGUCGAUCCAGCAGAUGUCGCGGCAGUCGCUUCGAAUGUCACGCGAGCUCUGAAACAGUACAAAACACUGUCGUUCCACGCAAUGGUUCAGAAUUGCAUGGCGCAGGACCUAUCAUGGAAGGGACCGGCAAAGAAGUGGGAGGAGGCUCUUCUUGGGCUAGGAGUCGAGGGAAGUCAGCCGGGCAUCGAGGGCGAGGAGAUCGCUCCAGUUGCAAAACAGAAUGUGGCCACUCCCUGA
rnacentral:rRNA from 1 species